rnacentral:rRNA from 1 species
CCAGACUCCUACGGGAGGCAGCAGUGGGGAAUAUUGGACAAUGGGGGGAACCCUGAUCCAGCGACGCCGCGUGAGUGAAGAAGUAUUUCGGUAUGUAAAGCUCUAUCAGCAGGGAAGAAAAUGACGGUACCUGACUAAGAAGCCCCGGCUAACUACGUGCCAGCAGCCGCGGUAAUACGUAGGGGGCAAGCGUUAUCCGGAUUUACUGGGUGUAAAGGGAGCGUAGACGGCAAUGCAAGCCAGAUGUGAAAGCCCGGGGCUCAACCCCGGGACUGCAUUUGGAACUGCACGGCUGGAGUGCGGGAGGGGCAGGCGGAAUUCCUGGUGUAGCGGUGAAAUGCGUAGAUAUCAGGAGGAACACCGGCGGCGAAGGCGGCCUGCUGGACUGCGACUGACGUUGAGGCCCGAAAGCGUGGGGAGCAAACAGGAUUAGAUACCCGAGUA